UGCAGUGGCGGCGCCAGGCUUCCAAAUUUGGGGGGGGCAUUUGAGGGGCAAACUCAAAUUUUGGGGGGCAAGAUAGAAUUUUUAAAAAGGUCGCCCCCCCCCAGGAAAUUCCCCUCCCCCCCUCAAAACUUGGCGAUAUUCCUAGGAAUAUCGCCUCCCAAGGGGGUGGGGCGAAUACCCUAGGAAUAUCGCCCCUCUUUAGGACAUUCGCCCCCCAUAUAUGCGAUGUGGUUUAUUCAAAUAAUUUCGUGAUACUUUCAUCUUAUUAUUGCCUUACACGUUUGAGAAUUUAACUCUG